AUACAGUAUGUUAAUUGGACCACAGAUCUGAGCCUGAGGGCAAGGCCUUAGUCUCUCCUGAGCAUAGUGGGAUAAGGGGCACUGGGGUGUGUGUGUGUGUGUGUGUGUGGGUGUGUGUGUGUGUGUGUGUGUGUGUGUGUGUGUGUGUGUGUGUGUGUGUGUGUGUGUGUGUGUGUGUGUGUGUGUAAGG